AUCAACUGCCAGAUUAAUCUCUAGCUUUGUCUCCACAUCUACCUAUUCAUGUCUUACUACUUUGUCCACAAUGAUAUGGCUUUGCCAUGACAUUUCUUCACCAAUGUCAUGAGGAGAGAAAAUAUAAUGAGAAAGUGACAGAGCUGCACAACCAACAAAGAGGCCUAAUAUUCCUUCGGCAUAUCAAGAAACCAGACCAUAAUGAAUGGGAGGGCAGGUUGAAGACAAUGGAGCACGUAUUAUACUUGGAAAAAAGCAUGAAUCAGUCACUACUGAAAAUGCAUGAACUGGCCAUUGACAAAACCACACACACUGUGUGACUUCAUUGAGAUGCAUUACCUGAAUGAGCAGGUGAAAUCUAUCAAAGAACUGGGUGACCAUGUUCAACUUGUCCAAGAUUGGCGGGGAGGUGGGUCUGAAUCUAGCAUGGCAGAGUAACUCUUUAACAAGUACAUCCUGGAAGACAGUA
rnacentral:lncRNA from 1 species